rnacentral:lncRNA from 1 species
CCCCGCACGGCCCGCAUAUGUUUGAUUCAGGCAGGUGUAAGCACAUAUCUAUAUCUCCAGCGCUAUUCUGAAGUGUAACACACUGCCUCAGUGCGACCAAGCGUUAACACAGCCCCCCUCACAUCUCUGCGAAGCACUCAGUCCUGUGUGUGUGUGUGUGUGUAUGAACUGUGUGCCGAAGCGCUGAGUAAUCCUCUCCUCUGCUCGGCUGAUAUCCAACCAUCCCACACGAGCAAGGACGCUGGCUGAACAGGAAAACACCUGUUCGUAUUACUGCUGGACACUCUAACUGGACAAAAACACCUGGAUUAAUACUUACGUGUUUGUGCAGCAUUAACGUUUACCUGUGUGUUCUGACCAGAAAAUGGGUCUCGGUGAAGGUCAAGGUGAAGGUCAUGGCGACGGUCAAGGACGCGGUGGAGCCGGAAUAAUCUGGGCAAUACUCUGGUUCCUCGUGCUCAUCUUCCUAGGAUGGCCAAUCGGCUUCUUCAUCGCCUGGCUCUACGUUCUGCUUCUGCCCUUCGGCGCCUGCAUCAGCCCCAUCAAGGACGUCUGCGACACCAUCCUGCGUCUUGUACAACUCCCGUUCACGUGCGCUGAGAACAUGGUGAACAUGAAGCCCAUGUGCUCAUAAAUCAACAUCAUCAACAUCAUGAACACCAUCAACAUCAAGUCUUCCAGAUAAACAUGAACCCAUAUAUUUAAAUCUCUCAACAACUUAUGUGUUUUCCCGGGAAAAGGCUUCCAAAGAAGAUGCUCAUGGAUGGCCUUGUUUAAUCUUGUCUGAACUCGAAAGUGACCAGCAAAACAUUAACAUAUUGGCCUUGUAUUAUGUAUUUGUGGUUGUAAGCACAUGAAACUGAUUUUUAUUCGUGUGAGGUUAAAAGUUCUUUGAGAAUCAAAUAUCAGUGUUACUCCUGAUCAAGUGAUGUUCACUCUAGGAUGUCCCAUUGGUAGCGUCACGUGGUUAAAAGUCCAAGGUACUGAAGGCUAUAUGAUAAGCACCGUAUCGUAUUGAAGUGGGGUCAGAUAGAUCGUUUUCACCCAUAUUUUCAAAUUCUUUGCUGCAUGUCAUUCGAGUUGGAAGACAAUGUGGAGUGGGGUGUGUGUGUGUGUCGGGGGGAUGCCUCGUACCUCGAAAUGCCUUAUAUCCCUCGCCAUGAACGGUUUCUUUCGGAAAAAACAUUUUGCUCACGAAGACAUGUCCAUACAGAACCUUCUUUAUCCAAAUAUGUCCCCAUCAAAUCGAAUCACCUCCAGAUGUAAACUGUCGGGCAAAAGAAAGUAUACCUUUAGGAACUGUAUCUGACCCAACAAAUACAAACGUUCUUAGGCUCAAAACAGUUGCCGAUACACUGCAAGAUUAAGGCCCUAAAACACAUCUAUGAUCUCAAACCCAUCACCAUCAAAUAAUUGUUUGUUGUUUUCGUUUUUAGCCACUAUAAAACAUGGGUGUAGACUCUCUUUGCCCGGCUGUUGUGAACAUGGCUUCUGGUGAUCACCGCUUACGAUCCGUUUGUCUGUACCUAUAAUUUCCAAAAGGAUAUACCGAGAAACGGCUGUAGGAUUCAUCAGACAUG